UACGAAGGGGGCUAGCGUUGUUCGGAUUUACUGGGCGUAAAGCGCACGUAGGCGGAUAUUUAAGUUAGGGGUGAAAUCCCAGGGCUCAACCCUGGAACUGCCUCUAAUACUGGGUAUCUAGAGUCCGAGAGAGGUGAGUGGAAUUCCGAGUGUAGAGGUGAAAUUCGUAGAUAUUCGGAGGAACACCAGUGGCGAAGGCGGCUCACUGGCUCGGUACUGACGCUGAGGUGCGAAAGCGUGGGGAGCAAACAGG
rnacentral:rRNA from 1 species